rnacentral:misc_RNA from 1 species
AUGAAGAACGUAGCGAAAUGCGAUAAGUAAUGCGAAUUGCAGAAUUCAGUGAGUCAUCGAAUCUUUGAACGCACAUUGCGCCCUGUGGUAUUCCGCAGGGCAUGCCUGUUCGAGCGUCAUUUCAACCCUCAAGCCCCGCUUGGUGUUGGGCCCCGCCCGCUGUGGCCGGCCCUAAAGACAGUGGCGGCGCCGCCUGGCCCUCAGCGUAGUACAUCUCUCGCUCCAGGGUCCGGCGGCCGCCUGCCAGAACCCCCCAACUCUGUGGUUGACCUCGGAUCAGGUAGGGAUACCCGCUGAACUUAAGCAUAUCAAUAAGCGGAGGA